GAUCCUGGCUCAGGAUGAACGCUAGCUACAGGCUUAACACAUGCAAGUCGAGGGGCAUCAGGAAGAAAGCUUGCUUUCUUUGCUGGCGACCGGCGCACGGGUGAGUAACACGUAUCCAACCUGCCCUUUACUCGGGGAUAGCCUUUCGAAAGAAAGAUUAAUACCCGAUAAGCAUAAUGAUUCCGCAUGGUUUCAUUAUUAAAGGAUUCCGGUAAAGGAUGGGGAUGCGUUCCAUUAGGUUGUUGGUGAGGUAACGGG
rnacentral:rRNA from 1 species